rnacentral:ncRNA from 1 species
AUAACGGCCCUUUUCAGGGCCACCAAUAUUUUUCAAAAAAAUCUAU